GGGGAAAUCAUGAAGAAGAAGGAGCCUGCAGGGAGAGAAUCACUGCUGUGAGCACAGGAAAAAUCAAAUCUGCUACCUUGCUGCUGUGUUUGGAAGUCUACAGCAAAGACAAACAUAGGAGAAAAUGAGCUUAAGGGCAUCUCAGCAAGAGCAUUGCUAUGAGCUGAUGGAGAUAAGAUGAUUCUUUCACUGUCCUCAUCCCAAAGAAGGGAUGCCAGAGCAGAACCGUUGCCACAGUGCAUUUCAGGAGACACCAUCAUCCGAUGGCUUGGUGAGGACAGCAAAGUUAUGAGAGAGCCAAGGAGUGACUCCCACAAACCACUGGCAACAGCGCCAAAUGAAUUUUUUCCACACAUCUGGCCAAAAUGUUUUGGCUUUUGCCAUUUAGUCUUUAGAGGAAAGAGGGAAAAAAAAUACGUUUUCCAUCCAAAGCAAGUGCUGUCUUGUGAAAAGAAAACUCUAAAGAGAAUUUCAAGAGAGUUUUGACAGAGAUUUUCCAACCAGUGGUCUGGUAGAAUGGAGGGUGUAGAGAUGAUGGUCACACAGCUGUGUCCACUCUUGCCCAGGCAGCUAAACAAGAGGGCACAGUGGAGGUUCUUGGAAAUCUUCACAGCUCCACAGCAUUACUCAGGAGGGCCUGACCCCUUUGCUUUGGAGGCCAUGCAGCACUUUCAGUGCCCUGCUCACUAAAGGACCUCAGCAAAGAAAUGAAAGGAUCCCUCUUGGUACCUGAAAUCUGGAGAACUGGGGAGGGGGGGCCCUGCAGGUCAGGAGUUUCUUCCUGAAAAAUUAAAAGUUGAUAUUCAAACCACUUAUUAUCUUCUUUCAUGUGUGUUUUCUUUCUUUUUGUGGUUCUGAUUCAGCAGCAAUAUUCUUCUCACUGCAAUUUAUAGAUAAACUUGCCCUUGCUAAGAAGGAAUCCUCUACAGCAGUGAUAUAUGCCCAUGUUGCUAGUUUUAUUGCUUUUUCACAGUGCACUGUUUGCAAAAAAGGUGGCUGCUCAGCACUUUUUCCCCACUUUAAUAUCUGCAAGACUUUGGUUUUGUCUUCUCUCUUUCAUGUGCGUUAACUUGAGAAAUAAGCAGGAACUGUUUCUUAAAUCCAAAUAAAAAGGAUAAAUAAAAAUUAUCAUCUAUGCAGCUUCCUGGGGUGGUGUCCCCAUCAUGUUCCCCUAAUCUAA